CAGCAGCCACGGUAAUACGUAGGUGGCAAGCGUUGUCCGGAAUUACUGGGCGUAAAGCGUGCGUAGGCGGUUCGUUAAGUCUGUUGUGAAAGCCCCGGGCUCAACCUGGGAAUGGCAAUGGAUACUGGCGAGCUAGAGUGUGUCAGAGGAUGGUGGAAUUCCCGGUGUAGCGGUGAAAUGCGUAGAGAUCGGGAGGAACAUCAGUGGCGAAGGCGGCCAUCUGGGCCAAUACUGACGCUCAUGCACGAAAGCGUGGGGAGCAAACAGGAUUAGAUACCCCUGUAGUCCCUGUCUCUUAUAC
rnacentral:rRNA from 1 species